rnacentral:pre_miRNA from 1 species
AGUGAAAUUACUAGGUCAUUGAGCAGAUAUAUGUUCACUUUUAAAGAAGCUUUUAAGUGGUUUUCCAAAGUGGCAGUUGCAUUUUUACACUCUUCCUAGAAAU